GGAUUGGAUGUGAAUGCUCUUAGCAAUCCUAAUCGGCGAUUCCUCUAUCAAACGGCGAUUCCUCUCCUCCGAAACCCUAAUCGGCGAUUCCUCUCCUCCUGACCCUUUCAAUCGAUUCCUCUCUCUCUCUCUCUGAAGAUCAUCACCGACGAAGUCAUCGAACAUGUCAAUAUUGUGAUUACAUUUGAUUAUUAGAUCCACAUAUCAUAACCCUCUCUUUUCACGAACCCUAGCAAAAUCACAGUUCGUCGUCUCCAUGUUUUCACCCAAAUCUCCCAAUGGUGGUUGUCGUACGAUCCAUCAAUCUUGCACGCUGGAAACCCUAACAAAUUCUCUCCCACAAUUGAUGAUUUCUGGUCCUAGCCAGUCAUUUAGAUGGGAUUUGCUUAAUGGCGAAACUCAGAAUCUCAGAUGUAAUGACGGAACUCAGAAUCUCAGAUGUAAUGACGGAACUUAGUGCCCUGGUUAUUUUAUCUUCAGUUCCAAACCUGUUUUGGCAUCACCGGUAACUGGCUACAGAAGCAGGUUAUGCGGGAAUACAGGCCUGGUGAGGUAGGACUUGGGAGGGGGGUUAUGGGCAUAAAAUGGAAGGUGGAGGCACUAAAAAAGCCAGAAGCCUGAUGUUUAUGCAGCCUCUAAGAGGAGAUCCAUUUAGGGCCUUUUUGAUGAGGCUGGGAAACUUCUGGGUUCUGCUAGCAGCCCGAUACAAAUUUGGAAAGAAGGUGACUGUGUUGAGCAAUCUUCAACUGAUACCUGGCUUGCGAUCUGCACUGCUGUUAAAAGAGCUUUAUCCCUUUCUGAUGUUGCUGGUGAAGAAGUAAUUGGCAUCGGUUUUGCAGCUACAUGCUCUCUUGUUGCUGUCGAUUCUGAAGGUCAACCUGUUUCAGUAUCUUGGAGUGGUGACACAAGAAGAAAUGUAAUAGUAUGGAUGGAUCAUAGAGCCGUAAAGCAAGCUGAAAGAAUAAAUUCCUUCAGUUCACCCGUUCUACAAUACUGCGGUGGUUCAAUUUCUCCUGAAAUGCAGCCACCUAAGCUUUUGUGGAUGAAAGGGAAUCUGCAAGAAUCUUGGUCAAUGGCUUGGAGGUGGAUGGACAUUAGCAGUGGGUGAAAUUGUAUGUAACAGGAGGUGAAAUUGUCAAUUGCAGUGGGUGUGGACAAACAUAGAUGUGAUUAACUCAGUGAUCCUAAGUUGGCACAAAUUGCUCUUAGGAAUGACUUGAAUAAGCUAUAAGAUCUCUUAACAGUAUGUCAACGAUCCAAGUAUAGCAAGCAACAGGAUGAAGAGAUGGUAAUGAUUUAUGAGCAUUAAUCAUGUUUAUUAAACCCAUAAGUUUCUCAAUUUGCUAUCUAUCUUGUCGAAUUUUGUAUCUAAUAUAUAAAGUUUUUUCGCUUUUGUAUCUAAUAUAUAUUCAGUUCUUUCUCAUCA